CACGUAGGGGGCAAGCGUUGUCCGGAUUCAUUGGGCGUAAAGAGCUCGUAGGCGGUUCGAUAAGUCGGGUGUGAAACCUCCAGGCUCAACCUGGAGACGCCACCCGAUACUGUCGUGACUAGAGUCCAGUAGGGGAGCGUGGAAUUCCUGGUGUAGCGGUGAAAUUCGUAGAUAUCGGGAGGAACACCGGUGGCGAAGGCGGCGACCUGGGUCGAUACUGACGCUGAGGUGCGAAAGCGUGGGGAGCAAACAGG
rnacentral:rRNA from 1 species